UACAGGGGGGGCAAGCGUUGUUCGGAAUUACUGGGCGUAAAGGGCCAGUAGGCGGCCAACUAAGUCCGACGUGAAAUCCCCAGGCUUAACCUGGGAACUGCGUCGGAUACUGGAUGGCUUGAAUUCGGGAGAGGGAUGCAGAAUUCCAGGUGUAGCGGUGAAAUGCGUAGAUAUCUGGAGGAAUACCGGUGGCGAAGGCGGCAUCCUGGACCGAGAUUGACGCUCAUGCACGAAAGCGUGGGGAGCAAACAGG
rnacentral:rRNA from 1 species